rnacentral:rRNA from 1 species
UACAGAGGGUGCGAGCGUUGUCCGGAAUCACUGGGCGUAAAGGGUGCGUAGGCGGCGCGGUAAGUCGGGUGUGAAAUCUCGGGGCUUAACUCCGAAACUGCAUUCGAUACUGCCGUGCUUGAGGACUGGAGAGGAGACUGGAAUUUACGGUGUAGCGGUGAAAUGCGUAGAUAUCGUAAGGAAGACCAGUGGCGAAGGCGGGUCUCUGGACAGUUCCUGACGCUGAGGUGCGAAAGCGUGGGGAGCAAACAGG